rnacentral:rRNA from 1 species
CGGGGGCAGCAGUGGGGAAUCUUGGGCAAUGGGCGAAAGCCUGACCCAGCGACGCCGCGUGGGGGAAGAAGGCCUUCGGGUCGUAAACCCUGUUCUGGGGGAAGAACCUGACUGGGUUAAGAGCCUAGUCAGGCUGACGGUACCCCAGGAGAAAGCCACGGCUAACUGCGUGCCAGCAGCCGCGGUAAUACGCAGGUGGCGAGCGUUGCCCGGAAUUACUGGGCGUAAAGGGUGCGUAGGCGGCCGGACAAGUCGUAGGUUAAAGCCCGGGGCUCAACCCCGGAAAGGCCUACGAUACUGUCUGGCUUGAGGGCUGGAGAGGCUGGCGGAAUUCCCGGUGUAGGGGUGAAAUCCGUAGAUAUCGGGAGGAACACCGGAGGGGAAGCCGGCCAGCUGGACAGUCCCUGACGCUGAGGCACGAAAGCGUGGGGAGCAAACCGGAUUAGAUACCCGGGUAGUCCACGCUGUAAACGAUGGGUGCUAGGUCUGGGGAGGUAAUCUCUCCGGGCCGAAGCUAACGUGUUAAGCACCCCGCCUGGGGAGUACGGCCGCAAGGCUGAAACUCAAAGGAAUUGACGGGGGCCCGCACAAGCGGUGGAGCACGUGGUUUAAUUCGAUGCAGAGCGAAGAACCUUACCCGGGCUUGACAUGCCAGGGUUGUACCCCGGUGGAAACACUGGGGGGGCGUGGGGUUUCUCACGCGCUCUGGCACAGGUGCUGCAUGGCUGUCGUCAGCUCGUGUCGUGAGAUGUUGGGUUAAGUCCCGCAACGAGCGCAACCCCUGCCCUUAGUUGCUACCGGGUAAAGCCGGGCACUCUAAGGGGACUGCCGGGGAUAACCCGGAGGAAGGAGGGGAUGACGUCAAGUCCGCAUGGCCCUUAUGCCCGGGGCUACACACGUGCUACAAUGGGGGGUACAGAGGGUUGCGAACCCGCAAGGGGGAGCUAAUCCCAGAAAGCCCUCCUU